rnacentral:rRNA from 1 species
GGUAUGGCAGCAAUGCCAGAGACCGGCGCACGGGUGCGUAACGCGUAUGCAAUCUGCCUUUCACAGAGGGAUAGCCCAGAGAAAUUUGGAUUAAUACCUCAUAGUAUAAUGAGUUGGCAUCAACACAUUAUUAAAGUCACAACGGUGAAAGAUGAGCAUGCGUCCCAUUAGCUAGUUGGUAAGGUAACGGCUUACCAAGGCGACGAUGGGUAGGGGUCCUGAGAGGGAGAUCCCCCACACUGGUACUGAGACACGGACCAGACUCCUACGGGAGGCAGCAGUGAGGAAUAUUGGUCAAUGGGCGCAAGCCUGAACCAGCCAUGCCGCGUGCAGGAUGACGGUCCUAUGGAUUGUAAACUGCUUUUGUACGGGAAGAAACAGUGAUUCGUGAAUCGCCUUGACGGUACCGUAAGAAUAAGGAUCGGCUAACUCCGUGCCAGCAGCCGCGGUAAUACGGAGGAUCCAAGCGUUAUCCGGAAUCAUUGGGUUUAAAGGGUCCGUAGGCGGUUUUGUAAGUCAGUGGUGAAAGCCCAUCGCUCAACGGUGGAACGGCCAUUGAUACCGCAAGACUUGAAUUAUUAGGAAGUAACUAGAAUAUGUAGUGUAGCGGUGAAAUGCUUAGAGAUUACAUGGAAUACCAAUUGCGAAGGCAGGUUACUACUAAUGGAUUGACGCUGAUGGACGAAAGCGUGGGUAGCGAACAGGAUUAGAUACCCUGGUAGUCCACGCCGUAAACGAUGGAUACUAGCUGUUGGGAGCGAUCUCAGUGGCUAAGCGAAAGUGAUAAGUAUCCCACCUGGGGAGUACGUUCGCAAGAAUGAAACUCAAAGGAAUUGACGGGGGCCCGCACAAGCG